rnacentral:rRNA from 1 species
CGACAAGGUUCUUGAAAUGGGUUAAUAACAGGUCAGUCAUGCCCUUAGAUGUUCUGGGCCGCACGCGCGUUACAAUGGCAUGCUUUAGAAAGUGCUCAAAAGGGCGUAUCCGCGGCCUACAGGUCGCGGUAACCCCUAGUCCCUGCCUUGACUGGGACAGACUAUUGCAAUUAUUGGUCUCAAACGAGGAAUUUUUAGUAGUCGCAGGUCAUUAACCUGCGACGAAUGCGUCCCUGCCCUUUGUACACACCGCCCGUCGCUGCUACCGAUUGGGUCCUGCGGUUACGAGUUCGGAGGCUGGUGGCGCUCCGCUUGCCUCACGGUAGGCGGGUGCCUCGGCUGAAGUUCUAAUUACCGCAUGGCCUAGAGGAAGCAGAAGUCGUAACAAGGUAAUCGUAGGUGAACCUGCGUUUGG